UCCAGCAGUCCAGGAUUUAGUCAAUGGCCGAAAGGCUGAACCAGUAACUUGGAAGAAUGAAAAAAUGUAUUUAAAUAAUACAUUAACGAUUUACUCGUAUAAAAUUCUAAAUAGAAUAAUGAUAAUGACAAUUUUCUAUUUAUAAGUCUUGACCAAAUUACGUGCCAGCAGUCGCGGUAAUACGUAAAAGACUAGUGUUAGUCAUCUUUAUUAGGUUUAAAGGGUACCUAGACGGUAAAUUAAACUCUAAAUGAGUAUUUUUUUACUAGAGUUUUAUAAAAGAAGGAAGAAUUUCUGGAGUAGUGAUAGAAUACUUUAAUACCAGAAGGACUGUUAACGGCGAAGGCAUCCUUCUAUGUAAAAACUGACGUUGAGGGACGAAGGCUUGGGUAGCAAUAAGGAUUAGAUACCCUAGUAGUCCAAGCAGAAAAUGAUGAAUGCCAAAGACUAGAAAAUAAAUUUAGUCUAUAAAUGAAAGUGUAAGCAUUCCACCUCAAGAGUAAUAUGGCAACAUAUAAACUGAAAUCAUAGACCGUUUCUGAAACCAGUAGUGAAGUAUGUUAUUUAU
rnacentral:rRNA from 1 species